rnacentral:lncRNA from 1 species
GGUAUUUGAGUUUAUUUUCUUGCUCUCAUUAUUCCUAUAAAUUAAUUUAAUAUGGUUGCAUGUUCACGUCCUACCGAUCAUCGUGAUGGAUAUUUGAUAUACGCAUCUGCAGGUUUUGAAUGAUCAGACCUUCGCCAUUAUGGUUCUUAUGGCUCUCAUUACUACCUUCAUGACCACUCCUUUUGUGUUAGCUGCGUAUAAGAGGAAGGAAAGAAAAUCUAAUUACAAAUACAGAACAAUUGAAAGGAAAAAUGCAGACGGGCAACUAAGGAUUCUUGCCUGUUUCCAUGGUUCAAGGAAUAUUCCAUCAUUGAUAAACUUGAUCGAGGCUUCAAGAGGAAUCAAGAAGCAUGACGCACUUUGUGUCUAUGCAAUGCACCUUAAAGAAUUUUGUGAGAGGUCCUCAUCGAUACUAAUGGCACAAAAGGUAAGACAAAAUGGGUUGCCGUUUUGGGAUAAAGGUCGCCAUGGAGAUUCUCUCCAUGUUAUUGUGGCGUUCGAGGCUUACCAAAAACUAAGCCAAGUGUUUGUCCGGCCAAUGAUAGCAAUUUCAUCGAUGGCGAACAUUCAUGAAGACAUCUGUACAACUGCUGAUAGAAAGAGAGCCGCAGUCAUCAUUCUUCCAUUUCAUAAGCAACAAAGAGUAGACGGUUCACUAGACAUUAUAAGAAACGAUUUUCGUUUGGUUAACAAAAGGGUACUAGAGCAUGCACCGUGCUCAGUUGGAAUUUUUGUUGAUCGUGGGCUUGGUGGUUCAUGUCAUGUGUCUGCAAGUAACGUUUCCUAUUGCAUUGCUGUGCUUUUCUUUGGUGGUGGUGAUGACCGUGAAGCUCUUGCUUAUGGAGCUCGUAUGGCCGAACACCCUGGCAUACAAUUAGUGGUUAUUCACUUCUUAGUGGAACCUAAUAUUGCAGGGAAGAUCACCAAAGUUGACGUUGGAGACUCUUCUAGCAAUAAUUCAAUAUCAGAUUCUGAAGAUGGCGAGUUUCUUGCUGAAUUUAAGCUGAAAACAGCCAAUGAUGACUCAAUUAUCUAUGAAGAAAGAAUAGUUAAAGAUGCUGAAGAAACAGUUGCUACCAUUCGCGAGAUUAAUUUCUGCAACCUAUUUCUUGUGGGUCGAAGGCCAGCCGGUGAAUUGGGCUUUGCUCUUGAAAGAAGCGAGUGCCCAGAAUUAGGACCUGUUGGUGGCUUGUUGGCAUCACAAGAUUUCCGCACAACAGCAUCUGUUUUGGUGAUGCAACAGUAUCACAAUGGGGUGCCAAUAAACUUUGUCCCAGAAAUGGAGGAACAUUCACGUGAUGGAGACACGGAAUCUUCUUAACUGCUCUGUUUUUACAUUGUCCCGAAUCGCGCAUGGGGUGGAUGGUGCUACAUAAGGGUUUGGAAUAAGUGUUCUAACCUGCAUUGUACCCAAUUCGACAUAAAUAAGAAAGUUUAUUUGACUUAAAUUUGUUAGGUUUACAACAAAUUUAUCUAUGAAUUGAAUAUAAAUAAUCAAAGAUUUUGUUGUUAUGAUUAUCAUAUUUAAUUUUCAUCAUGAUGUCUUGAAAUUGUGUUGUCUAUUUUUCUUUUUUUCAAAAUUGUUUUGUUUAUUUAAAUGCUUAGUUUUGUUGGUUUAUAUAAAUACGCUGGCUUAUUGGUACAUUUAGAAUUAUGCUUGCUAAACCUUGGUUUAUAUAAGCCAUGCUAACGCUAACUCAAGACCAAAAUUUCCCUGCAACUUGCCGAACACAACCAACACUAGCUGCUGCCCAUUACUAAAUCAAGCACAUCAACAUACCAAUCAAAGAGAGUAGACUCCAAGCCCACAUGCAUCACAUUGCUAUUAGCAGAAACGACCAAAACAAGCAACUCAACAAUUAAUCACUAACAAUUAUCCCCCCACCCAAACAAACUAGCAAGCUGAUUAUGCUUUGGAGAAAGGGUGGCAAAAAAUUUGGUUGAAACUUAUUCUUUGGUUGCAAUUUAUUAUUGACUACUAAAAUAUAUUUCAGAGCUCUAAAAUAUAUUAGAUUGCCUACCAAAAUAUUACAUAUUGUGUUCUAAAAUAUUAUAGAUUACUUCCAAAACAACAUUUUAGUAAAUUUGGGGACUAAGAAAACACUUUCUAAUAAUAAUUAAAUUAAUUAUUUAAUUUAUCAUUUCUAAAUAAUAAAAUAUAUAUCAAUAUAUAUUUUUUGUCAAAAAAAAAAUAUCAAUAUAUAUUUUUUCUCUAGUGCUUACUUCGUUCACAUAAUUAUGUACCCCUAUUAGAGGUAUACCUUCAUUAUAUAAAGUAUAAACACUACUAAUGUGUGAUCCAUCCGAUAUGAGACUUCCACUUUUUUUCAAUUCAUACUACAUUAAUUCUACCCGUUAUGGGAAUUUGUGUUUAGUCAAUUACUCAAUUUUCCACAUAUUUUUCAAGAAUAGUGGAAAAUAUUCUUUGUCCGACUCAUUUUAGGGGAAUUCUCUUCCUGACUUUGUCAGAAAAUAAUUCUCUAUAGGUAGAUUUAAUUUUUCUAUUUUCUUAGUUUUGUUUGGUCCCCAUGGUGUGAAAAAUCAUUUCCAAAUGAGGUAAAAAAUCAUUUCUGUAGUUUGGCCAAGCUUUUUGUAUAUUUUUUUUCUUCAUCUUUUUGUAAAUAAGAAAGUUUAUUUGAUUAAAAGUUGUUAGGUGUCUGAUGAUAAUCAGUCAUACACUAUUUUUAGAGUCUUUUUAGUUAAAUGUUUGAUCUAUUUUUAUUGGUUUAGUAUUUAAUUUAAAGUAUUUUUAAUAAAUAAUCGUUUUUAAUUUAUUGAGUCAAAGAGUAUAUUAUUAUCAUCUAUUAGUACGGCUAAAUGACCAACAAAAAGAGCCACAACGUGGCACACCAUUGAAGAAAAGAAAAUGUGUUUCAUUGGCUUUGAAAUAGAGAAAAACUAGCAUGUCUCCUUACAUAUAUAUUCAAGCAACGUGAUGCAUAAGUGAGAAAGGAGAAAAUAAUGGAAUGGGCCUUUGACCCAAAUUUGCCUUGGUUGACCCGAGAAUAAAAAGAAGGAUUGGCAAUUGUUAUAAAGGCUCGCACAGUACAGGAGAAGAGCCAUUCCCGCUUUGGCACAGGAAUCACCACGUGGAAAAGAAAGAAAAAGAGCCGCACGCACCGGAGAGAAGGGAGAAGCACAUGGAAAUAGAGAGCAACAACACUGAUUGAAUUAGAUUGAAUAGCAACACCGGCAACGACGGAACUCUAUGGAUUUAUUUUCUUUACUAUGUUGUUGUUUCUUUAUUAAUGUCUAGCUAAUUCCCUUUGAUUGAGCCAUGAUGAACCUAUUGUAAUAUAUGAAUUAGUAGUUGAAACUCUUUUAUUAUCAAUAUUAUUCAGUCUUUAUUCAGAAUUAUUUGUAUUCAUUGCUUUUCAUAUGAUUGCAUGACUAUUAACCCUAACUUCUUGCAACCACAUAAAUUGAUUGAAUGACUACUAACCAUAGGAACCUAGAGAUAGGAAAUUGAGGGUUAUGACACAUGGAUUAAUUUUCUGACAUCGCUUCCACGGUUAUUCAAUCGGUUUAAGAGAUUAAAAAGUUAUAACUUAGGAAAGGGUUUUGAGUCAAGAGAUUGAUCAAAACUAAUUAGUUAAUUUGUCGUAAAGAUUGAAUAAGUAUUGAGAGUAAAGAGAGAUAAGCUAUUUCACAUAAAGAAAUAGAGGAUUCACUAGCUUGAUCAUCUGUUUUAAUCCAAUUAUCAAACCAUUUUAUUUUCUGUUAUUUACUUUUUAUGCACAUAAACCUACUGCCUCAGGCACUUAUAAAAUUUACAUAUCCUAAAUAUUAACUUUAUUGCUAAGUUGAGAUUAACACAGUCCUCGUGGAUACAAACUUAUUUUAUUACUUCGAUAGUUUUAGUACACUUGCUAAAAGUUUAUCAAGUUUUUGGCGCCGCUGUCGGGGACUUUUGAAACAUUUCAACUUGACAAUUUUGUUUUUGUUUAGGAUUUCUGUCAUUUAUAUUUAUUUAUUUUUUUGUAUAUAUAUAUAUAUAUAUAUUGGAAAAAAAAUUAUUUAUGCUCUUCGUUUUCUUCUCGUUGUACGGUUCUACUAAAAUGUUUAUCCAAGUUUUGCAGCUAUGAUAGACAGGUUACGCCUCUAUGACACAAAAGAGAUUUGGUCAUUGCAGGAUGAAAAAUAUAUGAUAUCUUUGAAGAUAAAAUAUUUGGACAGUAAAAUCUCGCUAUUAAAUGAAAGGUGUGACAGUUAUGAGGUGGAUCAACCAAGUAGUAAUUGUGAAGAGAAGAAAGAGGUGAUCAACAUCGAUUACAAUACUCAACUUCAAAAUAUUUUAGAUGAUUUCUUGGUGUCAAAUCAAGUUUCAUUUGAUAAGUUUGAUGUUCAGUGUGGUGAUCUUGUUGAGAAGGCACAUGAGUCUCAAAGGAAGUUGGUUAAGAUGGAGACAGAAUGUCACAAGGUUGUGGUGGAAGAAAAUCUCAAAGUGAGGAGUGUUGAUAUUUGUCCGAAAUCUGAACCAAUGGGGGUUAAGGAAAUCAUUCUUGUGCAAAUAGAUGCAUGUCCUUCUCUAAGGUGGGAGAGUUUAUAUUCCAAAGGUUUAACAGUGGGUGCAUGGGAACAUCUACUUCUUUGUGCUAACUUCAUAAAAUUCCUACCAAACAAGAGGAAGAAGAAGGGUGAUAUAUUCCUUCUAUCAUUUUUUUCCACCCUAACAGUGGUUGAAGCGUCAAGCUCAAUGACGUAAAAGAAAGCGCUUGGUGGGAGGCAACCCAUCGGAUCUUAGAUCCGCCCAGGUAUUGUUUUUAUUUUAUUUUUAUUUUUAUUUAUUUAUUGCAUUUAAAAAAAAAUUCCAAUGUCUGCUACGAACGUGGCACGAAAUUUCCUUAACGUGGCACGAUCUAACAAACGAAGAAACAAGUUUGCCACUGGAAAUUUCGUGGCACGAUUGGUCAUCUAGCAUGGUACGAUCUGAAAAGAAAAAAAAAAGAUGGACGAAAAAAAUAAUAUAAAAAAAAAUCAAAGUCCACAUAAGUUCUUUUUCAAUCACCCGUAUUUGUCAGAAGUCAGUUGUGUCAGUUGAACUUUUAAUUGUUGUGUUGUUAUUUGGAUAACUCAGUUGUACCCCCUGUUAUGUAAUUGAAUCUGAACUUGUUUAUUAUUGACGAAUUUGUUUGUUAGUUGACUUUUUUCAGUUUAGUAACAAUUGCUUGUUCAAGUGGUAUUCCAAAAGUUCAUAAGGAGGUAGUGACUUGUAUUUCAAAGGCGAAGUGUACGGCAUGUGUGAUAGGUAGUCACAACUCCCAGAAAUCUAACAGCGUAAGGUUCAUAGCCAAAUAUUUGUUUUUUUCAAUUUACUUAUAUAGAGUGUUCCGUGCAACUACAUUUCUAGAACUUGCAUUGUUUCUUUAUUGUUGAUUGAUCUUUGUCACAUACACACUGAGGCAAAAGUGCUUGGUCCUGUGAGCCUUUUGAAGCCUACCCUGAUUCUAAUUGAAAUUUAUCCUUUUUGAAAUCCAAAUUGAGCCGGUAGGUUUAGAUCUUUUUGUUCGGUGACAAGCUACAUAUUGAGCCUAGAGACUUUUAGAAUUUGACCAAAAAAUGUUAUAUUUGAGUUAGGCUAUGUAGGGUGUUGCUGAAGAAUAAGUUUGGGGUUGCUUUUGGAAUUUGCAAACAACUAAGUUUGGGGUGGAGGUACUAGAGAACAAAGAACAAAUCAUGAAAAAUAUACACUCAAAAUCAAAAUGGUGUAUCAAAAAAAAAAUGAAAAGCAAGGGACAAACAAUAAAAAAUCUUGGUAAUUUUAAACUCGAUUGUCCCAACAAGUUAUAAAUAUUCUCUAGUACCUUUACAAUUGUUGUUUCAAGGGGUGAAUGAGGGAUUGAAUCCAUGCUUUAAUUUUCGUAUGAGUGCCUAACUCAAAUUUUGUGUAGCCUAUUUAUCCAAAUAAUAUCACACCUUUACCUAAGCUCCGUUAUAACCCUUAAAGACCUCAAAGUGUGUAAUGACAUUGAUUUUGAUUGACGUUUAGAAACUUUUCAAGCGUAUGGUAAUAUGUAGACCAGCAUGUCGACUGUGUGUGAACCCUUAUCAAAUUGUUCAGUGGAAUUGUGUAUGGUGGAUGCAAGCAAGUCAAACUAGCUCAUUUUUAGCUAGUAAGGAGAUCAACUUUUGGAUACUAUCGCUUGAUUAGGUAAUUGUUAUUUUACUGUCGAUUGUCAACAUUACAAGUGAAUUCCUCGAGGACAAGGAAUGAUUCAAGUUUGGGGUUGUGGCGCCGUUGAAUAUAAAUACUCUAUAUUUUGUUAGAGAAAUGAUAUCUAUACAACUAUUUUAUAACAAUUUUUUGACAACUUUCUAUCUCAUACUCACAUUAUAUUCUUAUUCUCUCACUUUUUUUUUCUCUCUCUAUUGUUUUGGACCAAUAGAAAGAAAGCAACUGAUAGUUGUCAUCAAAAUUGUCACACAUGGUUGUACAAAUAGCACUCCUCAUUUUGUUAUGAUUAUUGUCUUUAAUUUUUAUUAUUUAUGUUAGAGGUAUGUUUGUGAUAGGUCUUCAAAAAAAAAGUUUCUAGUUCAGAGCAACAAUGUUUGUCAUAUGGAAAUUGCAAUUGGGGUUAUUGGUAAAACUGGUGUAACAAUUGAUGGUGGAGAUAGUGUCCAAACUGAUUCAGCCAUACAUCAUUACAUCAUGCGAACAGUUGGUGGUGGUAAUCAAACUGAUGCAUGCAGCCAUAAAUCCUAUGAACAGGUUACAAUAGCUAGAUAGUUGCUAAAAUAAAUAGAAUAAUGUAAUUUUAAACCUAAAAACUUGACAUCAAAUUUUGACAACAAAUUAAAUUAGAUGGUUAGAUUAAAGAGAUUAAAUUCAUUUUGUAUAAGGAUAAAGGUUAAAUAAAUUAACUUAAUAGUUGAAAGAGUUAGAAUAGAAGUCUUGAGUUUAAAUCUGGUCUGCAACUUUUCAUAUAUUAGUCCUCUAGAUUCCUUGAUUUUUUUCUACAUUAACUUUCAAUGGAGAUUCAACUCUUCAUUGAAGUUGUAUUAAAGUACUAUAUUGCUAAGGUUUUUGAAUCGUUUGAUGUGGUUGAACAUACUUAUUUUUAAGCUAAUUUUUUGAGAGUGAGGUUUAAACCCAUUUAAUAUAAUAUCAAAAUAUUUUUUAGAGCUAGUUUUUUGGGAGUGAAGUUUUUUUUGACGUAAAAAGGGACUAAUUGCCUAUUCGGAUUAGCGUAGGUUUACAAGCCUUCACCGAAUUUUGAUAUUUUACAUUAUGUUUGGCUGUCUUUUCUCAAAUCAAUUCUACCAAUUAAAAGUGAUUCAAGCUUAAACUCAAAUUUGGAGCUUCAACGACAGGUGUAAUGGAUUAUGAUCAUAUUUCUCUGGCAUAAAUAUACCUUUUACUAGUUACCAUUAAUUGCCCUUAUAAACUAGUUAUAUUCAUGAACCAUUUUGCUCUCAAAUGACAGAUUUGAAUAUAAUUUAAACCCGUUUUAUUAAUUAUACAUUCAAAUAUAAUUUUAAUUCAAUCUUUUCAAUAAUUUGGUUCUCUUCAAUCUCAAUUUCGAUAGACCGGUUUAGUUUUAAAAAAAAACAAAAAAUUCAAUUUACCAAACAACAUAAGUGGGUAAAAAUCAAUUUUAUCUAAAUCUAAUCUAAACAAAUCAAUUUAGUUCAACUCACAUUUUAUCAAAAUCAAUUUUACAAUACUCAAUUUUAGUCACCCCAUACAAGUGUUUUUAUGUUUGAGAGGAUCACACUUCAAAUGUCUUCACGUUAACUAAUGAUAUUGUGUCGUGAAAGUAUGUAUAAUUGAUAAUAAGCAUUAUAGUAUAUUGUGUCAAAGUUAAGCCACCCACUUUCUUUUACUUUUUAGAUUAAAAAAUUUGUAAAAAUAAAAUUUGGAGUAUGUUGUGACAUUAAGAAGACGGUGCCGUUUAAUUUGGGAAAUGAGACUUUUUUUCACCAUGGAAAAGUUUUUUUAAACCAUUAAAUUAAAAGGGAACAUUGAUUUUAUCAUAGGCUGUCCGCACUAUAUCUUUCUUCUCAUUGUCUUCAACCUCUCAUGAGACACCAAUAGACCCACCACCACCACCACCACAACCGACUCCAAGAACCACCAUUAAACAAUUGAUUUCAGCCUAAAUCUUUUAUGCUCCAGAUGAUUAUUAUUUGAGCUACAUCUGGACUCCACAUCAUUCACAAAUACUACCCUUUUUAACCUUAAAAUUAUUAAUUUGUUGGAUACUUCUGCAUUUAGCAUGUUUAAACGUAUUCAUAUAUGCAAACAAACAAAUAUCCAAAUAUUUUUUUUACUCAAGUAAUGUGAUUCAUCAUGUAGCAAUAACAUUCACCAAUCCAAGCUUGUUCUAUGUCUAUUUAGAAGUCUAGUCAGGAUAUUUAUUUGGUGGUCAUUGAACGAGUUAGCAAUCCUUAAGUAGAUCUUAAUGUUUUUCUUAUCAAUCCUUAAGUAGCUUCUGGUUUGUAGCAAAUAAGAAAGGAAAACAAUGAUUUCAGGAAUGGAAACAGAAAGCUACGCGGGUCAAUAACAUUCAGAGGUUGAUGACAGAGAAAAAACAUAUAGUGUGGACAGUCUAUAGUAAGAUCAAUGUUCCCUUUUAAUCUAAUGGUUUAAAAAAACUUUUCCAUGGUGGAAAAAAAGUCUCAUUUCCCAAAUUAAACGGCACCUAAGAAGACCAAUUUGGAGCGUGGCCUCGAAAGCCGACAAUUAUGAAACAAUUAUUUUUUAUUUAAGCCGACUUAAAGUGGAAACAUUUCCUAGUUUGUGUUGUGAUUGAUUCUGAAGGUCCCUUUCCACAUUUACAGGGGUACUUUUUUCUAAGCUUUCAAUUUUUUUGUUAAGCUAUUCAUUCCACUUUCUAGGAAAAUGAAUGAUGCGUUUUUAUUUCACCUUUUGUAAGAGACUUAACGGUAACAGAAUCAGUUAAGUUAGUUUAAGUGUGUUGCAGACCAUAGUUCAUGUUUAUGUGUGAGUUACAUGUUAUCUAUGUAGCAAUGAUACUUCUAGUUGAAGACUUUCAAUUAUGACUAUUUUUUUUCUUCCAAAUAAUUAUUGGUAUCCUUGUGUCUGUGUCAGUUUCAUGUCCGGUGUCCGUGUUUGCCUCGGUACUUCAUAGUAUGCUAUUUUUGAGUGUGUACUUACAUGUGUUAUUUUGUUUUUGGAGAUUGCAUUGCAUGUUGUAAUAUUGACUAUUUUCAGGUCUUAAUUUUAUCAUUUUCUGACGUCUUUGUAAUCUUGUGUCCUUCCUGCAGAAAAUAUUAGGUGGAUUGGAUCCACUGUCAGUGGACUUCGACCUAUCGGAAUGACUUCCAAUACCACAUCUAAAAAUGUUUUCCCCCCGCCGAUGCAGCCAGCAUCUAAUGGUGUAUUUCAGGGAGAUGACCCUCUUGAUUAUGCACUUACCUUGGCUAUUUUAAGGCAGCCGCGAGUUGUUGCAGAGAUUGUUGUAAGUUCUUUUAUUUUUGUUUAAGUAUUUUCUUAAUCUAAUGAAGUUGUUUUUUCGUUAACUAUAUUAAUGAUUGAUAUUAGUAAGAAAUUUUAUAUCUUAGGAACUAGUGGGGAAAUCGGCAAACAAGGCAACAAUAAGAGCCUUGAUGUUCUAUUUUUAUAUAAUUUCACAGUUGAGUUUUCACUGUGUUCUACUUGUCAAACUCUGAAACAAGUCCAAUAUUUAGUCAAAUUUUUUAUGUAGAAAUUAGAAUGCAAUAUAACUAUAAACAAUUUAUUGUUCUUAAAUCAGCAAUAGACGAUAGAGAAAUAUACAGGCCAAAAUAUGCACAUGUGUAAGAGAAAUUAAAAUUGUAUUAUAUGCACAACCACUUUCUAUGUAGCAGAUAGUUUAAACAGACUUGACACUUCAUUACAUCCACAUUUGGUCAGUCUCACUAAUUGCCUUCUAAAAAAGAGCAGAGGUUUUUUUCAACUUCUAUUAGAUGUAGGCUUGAAUAGCAAAUUUGUCAAAAAAAGAGCUUGAAUAGGAAAAGGAAGGGUUAUUACAGUAUAUUUUUGUGUCUGUUAAGAUUUCUUAUUGAUGAUGACAGGGAGGAAUAAUACUUGGGCCGUCAGCGCUUGGACGGAAUAAAAGCUAUCUACGAGCAGUUUUCCCAUCCAAGAGUCUUCCAGUAUUAGAUUCUCUAGCAAACCUUGGUCUUAUAUUCUUUCUAUUUUUAGCAGGCAUAGAGUUAGAUCCUAAAUCUCUGGGGAAAACUGGAGGUAGAGUCUUUGCCAUUGCUAUGGCCGGAAUAAGCUUACCCUUUGCACUAAGAAUUGGUUCGUCAUUUGUUCGGCAAGGAACAAUUGCCAAAGGCGUAAAUACUUCUGCAUUUCUCGUAUAUAUGGGGGUCGCUCUGUCUAUAAAUGCGUUUCCUGUAUUAGCCCGUAUUUUGGCCGAGUUAAAACUUCUAACCACUAGUGUCGGCAGAAUGGCUAUGUCAGCUGCAGCAGUUAAUGAUGUAGCUUCCUGGAUUCUUCUUGCUCUUGCUGUUGCCUUAUCAGGCAGUAGCCAAUCUCCAUUUGUGUCAUUGUGGGUCUUCUUAAGUGGGUGUGGUUUUGUCGUAUGUUCGAUCCUCAUUGUCCUUCCAAUUUUCAAAUGGAUGGCCCAACAAUGCCAUGAAGGUGAGCCGGUUGAUGAGUUAUACAUAUGUGCUACAUUAGCUGCUGUUCUGGCUGCCGGGUUUGUCACGGAUGCUAUUGGAAUUCAUGCCAUGUUUGGCGCGUUUGUUUUUGGAAUUUUGGUUCCAAAAGAUGGAGCAUUUGCCGGUGCUCUUGUGGAGAAAAUAGAGGAUCUUGUGUCUGGUCUAUUACUCCCACUUUAUUUUGUGUCAAGUGGAUUGAAGACCGACAUAGCUACCAUUCAGGGGCUGCAGUCAUGGGGUCUUCUAGUUUUUGUUACAUUUACGGCUUGUUUUGGGAAGAUUGUCGGGACUAUUGUAGUGUCUCUUCUAUGUAAAGUACCUUUCAACGAGUCUUUAGUGCUUGGAUUCUUGAUGAACAGUAAAGGCUUGGUUGAAUUAAUUGUCCUCAACAUCGGUAAAGAUAGAAAGGUAUUUGAAUUGAUUUUCUUGCUCUCAUUAUUCAUAUAAUUAAUUUAAUAUGGUGCUUGUUCAUGUCCUACCGAUCAUCGUGAUGUAUAUUUGAUAUACGCAUCUGCAGGUCUUGAAUGAUCAGACCUUUGCCAUUAUGGUUCUCAUGGCUCUCAUUACUACCUUCAUGACCACUCCUCUUGUGUUAGCUGCGUAUAAGAGGAAGGAAAGAAAAUCUAAUUACAAAUACAGAACAAUUGAAAGGAAAAAUGCAGACGG